GGCCCCACAUCCCCCCACAAAUCCCCCAUUUACCCCCCAAAAUCCCCCAAGUGCCCCCACUGACCCCAUGGAGAGCCGUCAAUGACCUCCAAUGACCCCAGUGACCCCCAAAUUGCCCAAAAUCGCCGGAUUUCGCCCCAAUCUCACCUCCAAUCCCUCCUCCUUCCUCAGGGCUGCGUAGUCCAACUCAUAACAGGGGUGUGUGCCCCCCAAAAACCCCCCCAGGACCCCCACAGACCCCCAUACAGCCCCAUAGAAUGCCUCCCAAUGACCUCCAAUGACCCCAAUGACCUCCCGUGACCCCCAAAUUGCCCAAAACCGCCAGAUUUCGCCCCAAUCUCACCUCCAAUCCCUGCUCCUUCCUCAGGGCCGCGUAGUCAAACUUGUAAUAUGGGUGUGUGGCCCCAAAACCCCCCCCAGGACCCCCAAAUGCCCCCAUAGACCCCCAUAAAAUGCCGCCCAAUGACCUCGAAUGACCCCAAUGACCCCCAAAUUGCCCAAAACCGCCGGAUUUCGCCCCAAUCUCACCUCCAAUCCCUGCUCCUUCCUCAGGGCCGCGUAGUCAAACUUGUAAUAGGUGUGCAGGACCCGGCGCAGGUAAACCCUGCACAGCUCCUCGGGGGACCCCCGAGCCUGGAGGUAACGCUGCAGCCUCCCCACGAUGGCACAGACGCGGCCCUCAGCCUUCAGGUGCUCCACGUACUCUGUAAGCAGGCAAAGAAACGUUUGUUUUCACCCAAAAUCUCAUUUUUUUGACCCAAAAUUGGGGCAGAAUGGGUGGAGGUGGCGCAGUUCUAUUGGGGACAUCCGAGCCUGCAGGGGGCGCUGCAGGUGGAAUGCAGCUGGAAAUGGGGUGGGAAGGGGGGGUGAUGGGGGAGAAAUGGGGCAAAACUGGGGCAGAUGGAGAGAAAUGGGGCAAAACUGGUGGAAACUGGUGAAAAACGGGCAGAAAUUGGGUGAAAAUUGGGAGAAAUUGGGGCAAAAUUGGGGCAGAAUGGGUGGAGGUGGCGCAGCUCCAUAGGGGACAUCCGAGCCUCCAGGGGGCGCUGCUAGGUGGAAUGCAGCUGGAAAUGGGGUGGGAAGGGGGNNNNNNNNNNNNNNNNNNNNNNNNNNNNNNNNNNNNNNNNNNNNNNNNNAAAAUUGGGGCAAAGGGACAGAAAUGGGGCAAAACUGGUGGAAACUGGUGAAAGAACGGGCAGAAAUGGGGUGAAAAAUGGGGCAAAUAGGGGCGAAAUUGGGGCAGAAUGGGUGGAGGUGGCGCAGCUCCAUAGGGGACCGCCGAGCCUCCAGGGGGCGCUGCAGC
rnacentral:lncRNA from 1 species